ensembl:lncRNA
CGGAGGAGGAGGAGUGAGAGUUGUGAAAAUGACAGUUCACUUUUGUUUGUUUUUUUUUUCAAACGGAAGAAAGCCGGGAACGUUUGCUAAUGAAGUCAGACAUCGGAGUGACAUGUGGUCUGGGGCACACAGACUGACCCGGUUACACCAACCACCGCUGCGGGAGAUCAUCAAAAAUGUGCAGAAGCCGUUUAAUAAAGGGCUCUGACACAUAUUAAAGGGACACUACUGAGGUGUGUUUUUACAGCCUGGCCUCGAUAUACUGAAUGUAUCCGGUAUGUGUGAUUACCACAAACCACAGAGUAUUUCGACAUGCACACGUAUAUUCCUGUGUUAACCGAAGACCGGAAAUUAGUUCUAACGAGGCGUCUCACUGUAAAUGCGCCUUGUUUUAUAGUCGUGCGGGGAAUCGAGGUGACACCGAAACGCUUUUUUCUUUUCCGGUUCCGAUGCUGAAAACCCCUCCCAUAUGGUUUUAUUUAAACACUACCAAGCUUUACAGUGUUUUCCUUUCAACCGAAACGCCUUAAACGCGUUAAACUCUAUCACGCGCACAAAAUACACCGCUUGCGUUGUAACUAGGAUAACUAUAAAUCGUUUUCGACGAGAGCCGGCGAGUUCCGGUGACCGUCGGCGACUCGACGUGGGCGUGUCCGGCGAUGCGACAAAAGCCGGUAAAAAGUUUCGUAGCGACUCGGUGCAUUUUACGGCGUGAAAAAUAAUCCGUUGUCGAAACUGCGACGCUAAUUGCGCCACCUACUGAUAAAUGUUACUAUGGCAACCAGUGUUAGGAACGCCUACAGUACUGGCGACUUGCGCGCGAUGAAAUCAAAUAAAAAAAAUAACGGCCGUUUGAUCUCGUCCCGGACCACGCCGUUUUCGUAUGACGCUUCCAAGCUUCCCUUUUCAGGCUCGUACAGACUCUCAGUCGGCUUCACGGCAGCAAAUUUCUUUUUGUAAUGCUCAGAAUUGGGGUUGCUCUGUGUGAGUGUUCUGUGUGUGUGUGUGUGUGUCACUCUGCAUGCCGUGUUCACACCCCGCGGCAGUGCAUCAACAUGCCCUAACGAGUUACAGGUGUUGUUAUCCUCCUCUGCUAUGGCACUGCCACCCUCUGUCAUCGCGCCUGUGGCAGAUGGUUCAUAAUGACUGUGAUAGAUUAGUGCUAUCAGGCACGCCCACACACACACACACCCACACACACCCACACAGACACACACACACACACCCCAUCCAAACUGCAUAUACACGGUAAAUUACAUACUGCGUUACCGAAUACUAUAGGAUGAAUAUCUUCUGUGAAAAGAAAAUAAUCCAAUUACAAAACCAAUUAAGCGCUUAAACGCACAGAGCAUUAUCCUCUUAUUCAUCUCCAUCUUAUUAUUCACUAACCACUAUGAAAAUAAUCAGAAAGAUGUGCAAUUAUGGGAGAAAAGGAUUGUUAAGUCUGGACCUGCUCAUGGUUUCUAUAAUGAAAAAUAAAUAAAUGAAUUAAAUAAACGCAUCGACUUGCUGCGGCUAAUUAAAAAAAAUAAAUAACUGAAAUUGAAAAAAAAGGAGAUUGUAUAUGUCUCCUGAAUAUUAUACAUUCAGGAGAAAGAAAUGAGUCGAAAGGAGUCGAUGCAUUUAAAAAAAAAUAAAAAUUUUUAAUCCAAGUAUUUGUUUUAAAGUGAUGAUGACGAGUAUCACACGAUUAUAACUAAUUAAUGAAUCAUUCAAGGAAUCAGUUCAGUAAUUCAUUUAGCUAGUUAGCCGCUUAGCUACUUCAUAAAUAAAAGGUUAAUGAUAACAUGUUUUAUUCUUGCUCACACUUUUGACUGAUUGAUAAACAACAUCAUCCCCUCCCAAAUCAUGUUUAUAAAGUUUAUAAAGUCAAUUAUUAAAAGCAAAACUUACAAUCAUGACAAAACGUUACCUUUUUUUUUUCUUUUUUUUUUUUCUCGUGGUCUACGUCGUCGUAAUUUCCAACCGUUUGCUGGUUAUUUACUCAUUUAUGACAUAUUUAGACUGAACCACGGUUAUACCAGGGGGUCAGGAUUGUGGCUGAGAGUGUAAAUGGUGAUGUGAAUGUGGCAUUAAAAUAAAUAAAUAAAUAAAUAAAUCCGUAAUAAACCCUUUAACGUUGGGGCUUCGUGCCAAAUGCGGUAGCCGUGUGAGCGUUAUUACAUUUUUAUUCCGUUUUAUUUAAUAGAGCUCGUGCUCAUAAUGGGUUUGGUCAUGUGACUAAUUCCAUAAAACCACCUGCAUUCAAAAAAUGCUCAUAUAAAAUCAAGACAAUGUAUAAAUGAAUUCUUAGCUUGCUUUUUAAUUAAAACACACACACACACACACACACACACACACACACUCUGUAUACGUUAGGCCUUUUUAGACUUUUACAAGCUUAAAUUGGAUCGAUUUAUACGUUUUAUUCACCCUUUCUUCUGCAGCUCCAGACCGAUCGUCUCGGGACGUUUUUACAGUCUAAAUACGGCCUGAAAAGCGUGACGCCGCCACGCCAACGCCGGUCUAACAGCUGAGGAUGCGUUUUUAAUAGACGACUUUAAAAGCUCUCUGUGCGGCCCGGGCUGUCUCACGCUCACGCUCAGAGCUUUUAAAGCGUAACGUCUUUGUCGAAGCGAGUCAUCGGACCCCGAGGACCUGAUCU